UUCAGGAGGCUAAUUGACAGAGGCCUGACUGAUGUAACAGCUACACAAAUACUAUUUGCUUAAAUGCUGUCAGGUCAAGUAAAUUCGGUGGAGGAGGAUGAAAACAGGGCAGGAUUGACAGGUGCAGGAGAGGGCACAUGGUGUUUCUGCAGACUGUCCAUGUGAAGGAAAGCCUGCAGUGGGCCAAAAUCCAAAUGCACAAUAUUUCCGUUGUGCAAUGGCACAAACACAUGCAGCAGUGGCCUGAUCUGUCGACCCAGUGCUCUCGGCUGUUCGGAAUAAACCAGCUGACCUGUUUACGCAAGCCUCCAUGAGCUCAAAAAGGGGACAAAGGGGAAGCCGAAUCCAUAGGACUGUGUUACUGUUGGGACUGCUGUUGUUUGGGGAUCAUUAGCUCUACCAUUGCCCCACCUUUCCACCGACACUGGAGCCAUUGCACUGGCAUUUCAAAGCUCACAAAACAGGUUAUGACACUGGCUUCAAAAAUAGAGGUUAUUAUUAAUAGUGUUCAUGUGAGGCUGCUGGCAUUGGUUGCAUUGGCCUAUUUCACUCAGCACACUUUAGAGGCACGCAUUUCUUUCAUUCCCAGUAUUAACCAGUUGGGUUAAACUUAAAUUGGGUUGAUAUUUAUUAGCAAUAUCUCUUCAUAUUUAUCAACAUGAUACACUGCAAUGUAAGCUUUUAUAAAGCAACAAAUAAUGUGCUUGUGUUUUGACAACUAGCUACAAUUCAGGGAUUGGUUUUCAUCUAAAUCACUAAAUCUUUUUAACCCAUAUUACAAUAUAUACUUGCAUAUAUGCUAGUUCUGUGACCGAUAUAUUUUGUUUAACCUUUAUAUACAGACACCAGUACAAUGUUCUAUAGUCUUGCCGCAUUAAAUCUCUGUUAUAGACCGAGUGCUCUAGUUCUGCUGUGUUUGUAGUGUUGACCAGGUCAGGGUGUUUCUGAUCAGACAGUCUGGUGUCUCAGGAGAGAUCUAAAUCCCCUCAGUCCAAUCCCUCAUUCUGUCCCGGUGUUUUCUCGCUCUCCCUCUGUGCCAGACUCAUUAUUGAAUAGACUCUUAUGUCAGCUCUGUGUUUGGGACCUGUCUGUCUGCUUCUGUGUCCUCACAAACAAAUUGUGUAACAUCCUCUUUGUUGAAAUGUAAUCUGAAUGUAAUCAGAACAAGGGCUUCGGUGUUAUUAAAGUACAAUGUAUUCAAAGAACACAAGUCGAUGAGACCUGUUCUAUACGAUGCUG